rnacentral:tRNA from 1 species
GCAGGCUUAUUUGAAUGGCUACGCUUUCCGCUUUGUAUGCGGGUGAUCAUGGGUUCGAUUCCCAUCUGCU